UCAACUCCCAGUCUUAGAGGUGGAGCUGGGAAGCCCCUGGGGUCACCAGGUGCAAACCCCUCCUGCCACUGCCCGAUAACCCCUCCAGGCCUCUCUCAGGGCCUCAUCUGAGGAGCACACAGUCCUUCCCGGCUGCACGGAGGUGCCUGGUUUUCCGUUCCGUGUGUUUCUGGAAGGAGCCCAAGGAGCAGGUGCGCCCAGGCCCGUGGCCAUUCCUUCUCAGAGAGGGGCCUCCCACCCGGACCUCUGGCUCUGACCCCCCUUCCAGUCCUCCCUCCGCUCUCCCUGCAGGCGUGGAGCUCCCGUCCAUCCUGAGCUGAAGCUCAAGUUCCUUUCUUCCGGUUUGGAAGAGCAAGCAAGAGAGAGAAGGAACGAUUAGCCCGGUCCUGUCCUCGGGGCCAGGAAGCUACCCUGCUCUUCUGCAGGUGGGAUGGUUGGUCCAGACCUUGACCCCGAGGAGCCCCUUGUCACCUCCCAGCGGCCUUGGAGAGCCCCCAGCCCUCUCUGUGUGGCACCUUGAUCCCCAGGCCUCCCGGGACAGGACGCAGGGGGCCCCAGCCGCAGGGGCAGGGGAAGGUCUCUGGGCAGCUCCACUGCACACCGGCCUCCACCCUGACACAGAAGUCAGGCAGGAAACGGGUGGCCAGCCGCAGAGAGGGCGGCUCCCUGCAGGCUCAGCGGUUGGUUUACGGUCCUGCACCAGGGACACAGUGACUUUGCUCUGCGCCCCUCUUCUGGUGGCUUUGAGUGGCAGAACUUGGAGAGAUGGGACAUCAGAUUUGAUCAGAAGGCCCUGUGUGAAGUUGGUUCUUAUCUGACUUUGGUGCCCUGGCUCCAGCCGGGCCUGCAGCCCUCUCCCCACACCGUGCCAAGGUCCAGGAGAGCGACACGGCCCCUGCAUCACUCCCAGCACCUGCUGUGGCCCAGGCAGAGGCCCCAGGCCUUUCACUUAUGUGUGGCUGAGAAGAGGAAAUGGGUGGCCAUGUAAACAGUUAUACGCACAGGUGUGUGACAGUAGCCCAUCUGCCUCUUCCUGCCUGUCCUCCCCGGUGACUUGUCAGGUGUUUGGGAGGGGACACAUUCGGGGUGGCCGCCCAGUUCCUGAUGGAGGCCACAGCAGAGCGGUGGAGAGAUUCCUGACUCUGUGUCCUGACUGUGUGGUCUUUGAGUCAAGGGAAGAAGAAAUAAAGGAGGAGGUGCCCUAUGGGGCCACCGCACAGGUGAGCACUCAGGAAGCAGGAGCCACCUGCAUGUCCAGUGACUCCAUCCUUGGGAUCCACCUCCCCCUGGAUCCUGCUCCCAGUCCUGCCUGGAUCCCUCACUGCCACAGCCUGGACACGGACCUUUGUCAUUUCCACCCAAAAUGACCUCAAUACCUCCCUACCUUUACCCUCCUGCUCUCCCUGCUCCAGUCCGGCUGGAGACCGCCUUAAAAACACAACAGCGGGGGGGCCCCUGGGUGGCUUAGGCAAUUAAACAUCCACGCUCGGGUGCGUGGGGGGCCCCGCGGGCCGGUGCGCCUGGCAGCUGCCUCUCACUUCCCCACCGAGCAGCUGACCUUGCCUUCCCGCACCGCCGCGCCCUGGACGUACCUGGAGUACCGGGGAAUUGUUGGUGAGGACGAUGGAGGGAAACUUUUUACUCCUGAGGAAUAUGAAGAAUACCAAAAAACAAACAAACAAACAAACAAACAAACAAAA
rnacentral:lncRNA from 1 species